GCUCUAGUAGCUUAGUGGUUAGAGCAUUGGUGCGUAAAUCCAAAGGUCCCAGGUUCGAUUCCCGGCGAGGGUG
rfam:Agrilus planipennis Contig40911, whole genome shotgun sequence.